UACGUAGGGUGCAAGCGUUGUCCGGAAUUAUUGGGCGUAAAGAGCUCGUAGGCGGUUCGUCGCGUCGGCUGUGAAAUCCCGAGGCUCAACCUCGGGUCUGCAGUCGAUACGGGCGGACUGGAGUUCGGCAGGGGAGACUGGAAUUCCUGGUGUAGCGGUGGAAUGCGCAGAUAUCAGGAGGAACACCGGUGGCGAAGGCGGGUCUCUGGGCAGUAACUGACGCUGAGGAGCGAAAGCGUGGGGAGCGAACAGG
rnacentral:rRNA from 1 species